ACUCCUUCAAAUUUUUCCUUGUUUAUGUUUCUACGCUUUCCCUAAAAACCCUAAUCCUCUCUCUGUCUGAUUUCCCCAAAAAGAAGAGCACAAAUUCUCUGUUUCUGCAAAGGACUUGGUACAUUAAUUCUUAGUUACUAUGUCAUUCUCCGUGACGCCGUCGAAGAGACCGCAUGAUCGGAACGAUCAAAAUGGAAAAGGGAAGUGGCAAAAGACACAAGGAUAUUAUCCACCAUUACAACCAUUGAAAAUCGCACCUGGUAGUAUUGUUUUCCGUGUGUUAUGUCCUGUUUCGAAAUCGGGUAGUGUAAUUGGGAAAGGCGGUACCAUUGUGUCACAAAUUCGACAAGUUACUGGUGCUAAAGUUAGAGUUGAAGAGCCUGUUCCUGGUGAUGAUGAGAGAGUUAUUGUUAUAGUAGGUCCUGAGAAAGAAGUAGUAGAAGUGAAUGGAGAACAAAUUAAAGAGGAUGGGGAGAAUAAUAAUAAUGGGGUUAAUGAGGGUGGUGAUGUGAAAGAGAACGAUAAGAUAGAGACUGAGAGUAACAAGGAUACGGUUCAUAUGGAAAUUAAGGAGGAAAAGGGAGUGGAGGAUGAUGUGGAAGUGAAGGAGGAGUCCAAGGAAGUUAAGGUGGAAAUGGGAGUCGUGGAUGAUAUGGAAGUGAAGAAAGAAUCCAAGGAAGGUUUGCAGUCAAUGGAAGUUACGGAGGAAAAGGGAGUCGAGGAUGAUUUUAAAUCAAAGGAAGUUAAGGAGGAGAUGGGAGUUGAGGAUGAUAAGGAAGCUUCGAAAUCCGAGGAACCUAAGGAGGAGGAGAAGGUAGUUGAGGAUGUUAAGGAAGAUUCAGAAUCCAAUGAAGUUAAGGAGAAGGGAGUUGAGGAUGUUAAGGAACAUUCGGAACUCAAUGAAGUUAAGGAGGAUAAGGAAGCUAAGGGCACUGCUUCUGCUGAAGAUUCACAAGCCGAAAAAGGAAAUUCUGCUGUUCAGAGGGCUCUUUUCCUUGUUUUUGAAAGGAUGGUUGAAGGAGAGCUCGAAGGAGAUGAAGGAGAGAAAGCUUCAACCGUUGUUAGAUUACUUGUGCUGUCCACCCAAGUUGGUUGCCUCCUAGGAAAAGGGGGGAGCGUAAUCAAGCAAAUGGCCUCUGAUAGUGGGGCACAGAUCAGGAUUCUUCCAAGAGACAAACUUCCUCUUUGUGCUUCACAAACUGAUGAACUGGUUCAGCUCACGGGGGGAUUAGAUGCAGUUAGGAAGGCUCUUCAAUCUGUAUCUCAACAACUUCUGGAUAAUCCACCUCGUGAUCGUGACACGUUUCCUGCAAGCAAACAUACUGGAUCAUCAAAUAAUUCUUUUGGUCCUCCUGUUCCUAAGCCUGACGUUCGUGCACCCCCAAAUCAUCAUUUUUCUGGCCAAGGAGCAACUUAUGCUGCUGGACCUCAUGAACGAACUGAUUUUGAGCAUCCACCACAAAAGUAUCAUGAACAUGUCAUACCAAACAGAAUGGAAACUGUGCAGCCAAUCACCUUCCGUCUAUUGUGCUUCAACGAGAAUGUUGGAGGUGUAAUAGGGAAGGGCGGAACCAUAGUCAAGGCACUUCAGCAUGAAUCCGGCUGUGACAUCAAAGUCUUGGAUAGUAUUCCAGAUUCAGAGGAUCGUAUUAUUCUCAUUACUGGCCCAGUGCAUCCAGAUGAUAGGUUUUCUGCUGCACAAGAUGGAGUUCUCCGUGUGCAGAAUAGGAUAGCAAGGGCGGUAUCUGAUAACGGUGAAAAAGUAUUAGCUAGGAUACUUGUGUCGUCCAAUCAGAUUGGUUGCAUUCUUGGGAAGGGUGGUUCAAUAAUCACUGAAAUAAGGAAAUUUACUGGGGCUUACAUUCGUAUAGUAGCAAGAGACCAGAUGCCAAAAUGGACCUCUGAUAUUGAUGAAAUUGUGCAGAUGUCUGGGGAAUUUGAGGCAGUGCAAGAAGCUCUAGUGCAGAUAACUGGCAGGCUGCAACAUCAUUUCUAUCGUGACAUGUAUCCCACUGUUAACCAUCCACCGCAUCCUCCUUUUGCUGAUCAAGUAGCACCAUAUCCUCCAUUUGGGGGGAGGAGGGACCGUUCACCUCCUGGAAUGUAUUCCAAUUUAGGGCCACCAUUUCAUAAUUUUGAUGGUAUCGGUGGUUUUCCUCCUCAUGGGCAUGUUCAUCCCAGCGAUGAGCGAUUUGUACACAACAGUCACAUACAGGGUAACCCCCAUCUUGGUUCUGGAAGACUGCCACCUCCAGCACCAUGGGAAUAUCAGGGAAGAAUGCGUGACGGUGUUGGUCCCUUGGGGAUCCCAGAUUACGCAGGAGUUCCUCCCCAUAGAAGAAAUGCAGGGUUUGGCGGUGGGAAUCAGCCUGCUUUUAUCACAAGCACAACUGUAGAAGUUUCUGUCCCCCGAGCGGUUGUUCCAUCUAUAUAUGGAGAAAAUGGAAAUUCUUUGAAACAGAUUCGCCAGAUUUCUGGUGCAAAAAUUACCAUUACUGAUUCCCGACCUGGAGCCACCGACACCGCAAUUAUCUUAUCUGGAACACCUGAACAAACACAUGCUGCACAAAGCCUUCUUCAGGCAUUUGUAAUGGCCGGGUCUGGUUCACCUUGAUCGUACAUGGCAGAAAGAAACUGGAAACGUCUGCUGGAGAUCAAGUGGCCUGGAAUGAGAGAAUUUUGAAGUUGUAGUUUUGGGAUCAUCCUCAAACUCAGGUGAAGCUUUCAAGGGGGAGAUAUCAUUCUUCUGCAGAUAGUAUCACUCUCCAUGACGAUGUUUGAUGGCUUCAAAGAUGUACAUAUCCAGUCGUUUAUUUCGAGCGGUCUCUACUCUCUACCCAAGCAUGCUUCAUCAAUUGUUAAAGAAAUAGUAGGUGGAGGUUGAUCGCUGUAGUGAGAUUACAUGGGGAGAUAUAUAGGUGGGGCAGCAGGAAAUCACAAGGACUGACAAGUAUCAAGUACUCGAGAAGAAAGAAACAAACUCAUUUAGCAAGUCGUCAGGCCUUGAAAAAAUUUGUCGAAGCCAGAAUGAGUUUUUGAGAGUUUUUUUUUCUGACAAAAGUUAGCUCAAGAUAUUAACCGGUUGUAUUGCCGGUUGCAUCACUUAUUCCCGUGGUGGUGAGUUCAGAGCGUCUUAUGGACUAGGCCAGCUAGGUUGUUGCCUCCUAUAAUUUAAAAGUUUAGUUAUUUUUAAAGCUUGUUGCUCUUACGUAGUGGUCUACCUUUGUUCUUGUUGACAGUCAUAUCUUUUAGUUAUUAUCGAAAUCAGUUCGGUUUGUAAUCACUGGUACUAUUUUCCAAUUCUAGCCAUUACUCACUUUUACGUAAGAACAUUAGCAUUCACUA